AAAGGAAUUGACGGGGACCCGCACAAGCAGUGGAUCAUGUGGUUUAAUUCGACACUAAACGAGGAACCUCACCUAGGCUUGACAUUGAUAGAAUUUUCCAGAAAUGGAUUAGUGCCCGCAAGGGAACUUGAAAACAGGCGCUGCAUGGUUGUCGUCAGCUCGUGCCUUGAGGUGUUCGGUUAAGUCCGUUAACGAGCGCAACCCACGUCGUAUGUUACUAUGUCAUACGAGACUGCUCGAGUUAAUCGAGAGGAAGGUGUGGAUGACGUCAAAUCAGCAUGGCCCUUAUGCCUAGGGCUACACACAUGAUACAAUGGUCGGUACAAUGAGUCGCAACAUCGCGAGAUGAAGCUAAUCUCAAAAAGCCGAUCUCAGUCCAGAUUGGAGUCUGCAACUCGACUCCAUGAAGUUGGAAUUGCUAGUAAUCGUGAAUCAGCUAUGUCACGGUGAAUCUGUUCCCGGGUCUUGUACACACCGCCCGU
rnacentral:rRNA from 1 species